AGGAGAAAUAGGUCUUCAUCUUGUGAGAGAUUGGCAGUUAUAGUCAUGGGUCUUCUUGCUGUGAUUUCUCCUCUCUAUAUCGACCGAAGAGAGGUCAUCGAUCCAGAGGAAGAAGAGGCUAGCUUAGAUUUCGAAUCUUGGGUUGGUGGUUCUUCUGGUGGGAUUCUGGUUAUUCUCUUGAUUCUGGCUUUGGUUUUGAAGUGUAAAGCGUCUUUCGGAAACUAAAGAGGUUUGAGACUUAAGAUGAGGAAAGAACCCUUUUAAGUCUUUUUCUCUAUGGCUUGUUGAUAUAUGCUUCUCACUUCUCAGUUUUACAUAUCUCAUAGUUCUUCUAAUAUCUCUUAUUAGAGAAUAGUAAGUAGUUAAUAUUAUUAACUUAAAUGUUUAUUAAUCUUGCUUUUGCUUUUUGUUUAUAUAUAUUUAUCAAGUAACAUAUAUGCAUAGAAAACAUAAUUAGGAUUCUGAUUUUAAAAUCUUGUAUUGGGUUACCUCAAAUGGUUAUGUAGUUUUGCCUCCAUAACUAAAAAGUGUAUCAUAAAUGAAUUUAACUGGAGCUCGCGAUGGUGAAGGAAUUGGCUUGAAAAGAAGAGAAAUUCUAGUUGUAAAAUACCUAUUGGACUAAGUCUUGCAAUGAGCGUAACUCUCGUAUUUAGUUGCCACCAUUAAGUUUGGAAUCCUAAACAGACUGUCGGAGAAAGGUGAGGAUGACCUCAAGUCAUCAUGCCUCUCAUGUCUUGGGCGACACACUUGCUACAAUAGCUGAGACAAAAUGGUCGCAUUCCCAAACACCUGGCUCUCAAAUAUUGUAAGAUUAGUCAGAGACCCGAGUAUUAAAAGAAAAACAAAAAAAGUGUUAGCUAUCAGGUUUUUUCUUUUUACAUAGUUUUCACAGAAGGUGUGUGAGUAUAUAGCAUUGUUGAUGUUAACAAUUUUAACCAAGAACUCAUCAACCUUAAUGAAACAAAGUCUCAUAAAUUUUACACCGUGAAGGAAAAAUGUAAAGAAUGAAUAGCUCUCUACAUCCAAUAACAAAAAACAACAAAUAAAACAAGAUCAAGCCUAUCAAUACAACACAUUGAUCACAAUCCAAACACACAGCCCACUGCCACCAAAAUUGUAGCAACAAAUAUUAACAAACGAUUGCUACUGAAGCGAUCAUCGGCGCCAUUACAAACGUCGUUGGCGCCACUAAAGCAGCCGGGUUUCGUUACCUUAGCAACACCUCCAUCCAAAACAAAGCUACUAUUCUUCUUCCCACUGCUAAACAACACACACCAGAAAUAAGGACCCCCACCAUCUGAACCAGAC